GUUCACUAUGUAGGCUAGGAUGAU
rnacentral:piRNA from 1 species